UCUCAAUGUAUCUUUAGAGGGUACCAGCAGGAUCAAGCCCUAGUUGCAGGCGGUGGUGACCAGCUUGGAUAACGUGCCCUUGUACUGACCUUCAUUUCAACUGGUUGACUUUUCCCAGCUCCCUGCGUGCAAGCUCUGAUGUCUAAGGGGAGUUGAAGUUAAGACAGGAACCCACAAGUGUAGCUGCCAGCUUUCUCCAGUGGCUCUCCAACACCUACAGGAGACACCCCCAAACUCUUGGGAUAGCAUAUAAGGCCCCCCAGGCCCUGGGGCCUGCCUACCUCUUCAGCCUCAUCUUCCAAACACCUCCUACUUAGACUCAAGGCCUAUCUAACUCUUGCCGAGCCACCAACAGAAAUGUGCAGUUCAUGUAAGCCGUCAUGCCUCUGUAUGUGCAGUUCCCUCCGCCAGAUAUAACCUUCAUCUGCCUGCCGGUUCAAGGCUCAUUUCAUCAGUGAAACCUUGUCUGAACCUACAAAGAGGGACUUGGACACACUCGCCUUUGUCCCACAGCUGUGUCCUGUUAGAGCAACUGACAUACUGCAUUGUCUUUGUUUUCUUAGCAAAUCUGUCUUCCCUUCCAGACCAUGGCCUGGCAAAGGGCCUGGCCCAGAAAAGGGACUCAGUAAAUGCUGUUUGAUGACAUA